AAAACCUGAGCAAUAUGGUGGCUGAGAUACAUAAAAAGCAAUUCCCUAGUCAUCCGAUACUCCGGUAUGUGAUAAUCCAGUACCCGUCCAACCCCAGUGAUGUGAUGCUGUGGUCUGGUUUCGGGUCUGUAUUUGUUUGGGGUCUGAUCUGGGGUCUACAUUAGUUGAGGGGGUCUGUAUUAGCUGAGGGAGUCUGUAUUAGCUGAGGGGGCAUGUUUAUUAAAGGGGUCUGGUCUGGGGUCUGUUCUUGUUCAGUGCAUCUGAUCUGGGGUCUGGCCUGUUUUUCCAUAGGAUCUGAUCUAGGGUCUGUAUUAGUUUACGAGUGUUGUUUAGGGUGUCUGGUCUUUGGUCUACAUUAAUUAAGGGGUCUGUACAUUCAUUGGGGAGUCUAGUCUUUGGUAUAUACUUGUUUAGGGGUCUGCUUUUGUUUCGGGGAUCUGGUCAAGUCUUUAAUUUGCUUAGAGGGUCUAGACUUGUGGUCUGUAUUUGUUUACGGUGUCUGUCUUUGGUCUAUACAUGUUUAAGGGGUCUGGUAUGUGACCUGCAUGUGUUUAGGCAGUCUGUAUGCACAGUCAGGGGUCUGUUUUUGUUUAGGAGGUCUGUAUGUAUGGUCAGUGGUCUGUGUUUAGGGGGUCUGAAUGUAUUAUUUAGGGGGGUCUGGUAUGUGAUCUGCAUUUGUUUAGGAGGUCUGUAUGUAUGGUCAGGGGUCUGUAUUUGUUUAGGAGGUUCUGUAUAUAUGGUCACGAGUUUAUAUUUGUUUAUGGGGUCUGUAUGUAUGGUCAGAGGUCUGUAUUUGUUUCAGGGGUUCUGCAUUGGGUCUGUAGGUAUGGUCUGGGGUCUGUCUUUGUUUAGGGGGUCUGUAUGUAUGGUUAUGGGUCUGUAUUUGUUUCAGGGGUUCUGCAUUGGGUCUGUAGGUAUGGUCUGGGGUCUGUCUUUGUUUAGGGGGUCUGUAUGUAUGGUUAUGGGUCUGUAUUUGUUUAGGAGGUCUGUAUGUAUGGUUAGGGGUCUGUAUUUGUUUUGGAGGUCUGUAUUUAUGGUCAGGGGUCUGUAUUUCUUUAGUAGGUUCUGUAUGUAUGGCCAGGACUCUGUAUUUGUUUAGGAGGUCUGUAUUUGUUUCAGGGGGUCUGGAUUGGGUCUGUAGGUAUUGUCUGGAGUCUGUAGGUAUGGUUAGGGGUCUGUAUUUGUUUUGGAGGUCUGUAUUUAUGGUCAGGGGUCUGUAUUUCUUUAGUAGGUUCUGUAUGUAUUGCCAGGGGUCUGUAUUUGUUUAGGGGGUCUGUAUGUAUGGUCAGGGGUCUGUAUUUAUUUAGGAGGUCUGCAUGUAUGGUCAUUUGUGUAAUGUACUAGGCAGUAAGGUGUUUUGCGGCCUCUGGCAGCAGGUUGGGGGGCUCCUGUGACAUUUCUUGGG